rnacentral:rRNA from 1 species
CAGAGGGGGCAAGCGUUGUUCGGAAUUACUGGGCGUAAAGGGCGCGUAGGCGGCCUCCUAAGUCGAACGUGAAAUCCCUGGGCUCAACCCAGGAACUGCGUCCGAUACUGGGAGGCUUGAAUCCGGGAGAGGGAUGCGGAAUUCCAGGUGUAGCGGUGAAAUGCGUAGAUAUCUGGAGGAACACCGGUGGCGAAGGCGGCAUCCUGGACCGGCAUUGACGCUGAGGCGCGAAAGCCAGGGGAGCAAACGGGAUUAGAUACCCCGGUAGUCCUGGCCCUAAACGAUGAAUGCUUGGUGUGGCGGGUAUCGAUCCCUGCCGUGCCGAAGCUAACGCAUUAAGCAUUCCGCCUGGGGAGUACGGUCGCAAGGCUG